rnacentral:rRNA from 1 species
UAUGGCGACCGGCGCACGGGUGAGUAACACGUAUCCAACCUGCCGAUGACUCGGGGAUAGCCUUUCGAAAGAAAGAUUAAUACCCGAUGGCAUAGUUCUUCCGCAUGGUAGAACUAUUAAAGAAUUUCGGUCAUCGAUGGGGAUGCGUUCCAUUAGGUUGUUGGCGGGGUAACGGCCCACCAAGCCUUCGAUGGAUAGGGGUUCUGAGAGGAAGGUCCCCCACAUUGGAACUGAGACACGGUCCAGACUCCUACAGGAGGCAGCAUG